UGGUGUGAAUUGUAUAAUCCCAUGAACCAUCGAGUCUUUGAAAGCAAGUUGUGUCGGAGGCUUCAUGGCCAAUAGCAUGUUCGCCUGGGUGUCACGC
rnacentral:rRNA from 1 species